rnacentral:tRNA from 1 species
ACGUCCUUAGUGUAAUGGUAGCACAGCGCUCUUCAAAAGCGUAAAGGUGAGCGUCCAAAACUCAUGGUGAGGGUUCGAAUCCUUCAGGACGUG